rnacentral:lncRNA from 1 species
AUAUAAGAUGAUGAAAUUAAUAUGAUUCCACCAAGUAAAUCAGUUUAGGCAUAUGUUUAAAGUCAAGAGCAAAUGAGCAUUAACUUCCUCUAUAAGGAAAAAAAGCAAAGAUUGACAACUUUUAUAAAUCAAUUUAACAUGUUUUAUCUCUUCGCUUUCCAAGUGAUGAUAUAGCCAAAAAUUCCAUGAGAAACAAACUGAAAAAAAAAAAAAGUUAUUGAGCAGAUUUUUGUCUAUGCUGUGAUUUAUGGAUUAAAGACUACAAUUUGCUGAAUCAUACUCUAUUUUUAGCAUAAAGACAUGUUUGAUAUUGGCCAUAUAUUCUUGUCUUGAACAAUUUUUUUCCUUUUUUUUUUUUUUUUUGGCUAUACCCAUGGCAUGUGGAAGUUCCAGGGCCAGGGAUAACAAUUUUGUUUUUAAUUAUUUGCCUACAUUCAAAUUUUGAGAAAAGUCCCAUAUAAAUUGACAAGUUUUUCUUUCUUCACUUAAAUUAUUGGAGUAACUGGUAGAACUGGGCCUUGUCUCUGUAUGUUAGUCAACACAUUACCAUGGUUCUCAAUAAUCUCUGUUUUUUCCCCUAUACUUUUGCUAAGUAUUUGUUGAAUUGUUAUAUGUGAUAUUUACUAAAAUUGGUUAUAUUGCAGUUAUAUUGCAUUUUAUAUUUGUAAUAAGAAAUUGAAAUAUUUAUUUUCCCAUUUUCUCUCACAAAUAUAGAAAUGAAAUAGAUAUAUGUUCACACACACACACACAAAUGAGAGAACAUGUAUUUCUUUGUGUCACUCCUACCUGUUUAAUAUGGGAAACUUGUCUGUCUGUGCAAGAGGAAUUUUCUGCCUUGCUGUAGUCAUGAUAUAUGUAUGAAUACUGUAAGGACUGGUAUAACAGCUCUUUCUUAGGGCAAUACACAGGAAAAAGAUGACAACCCCUACCCUAUGGAUCUUAUAACAACUAAGAAAAAAUAUGAUUUUAUAUAUAUAAUCAUGUAUUAAAUUGCAUUGGAAGUACUUAUAAAUAUGUGGGGAAAUGCGAAAAGAAAGUCAAAAUUAGCUAAGUAAUUGUGAAGAACAGAUGUUUUGCUGUCUUGAGGUAGUUUUUAAUUUCAAUGUCAUAGACAAAAUAUUGUAAAUGUUUUCAAGGUGUCUUUUUUAUACAGGCUCUUGAAGAAAAUCACUCACUGACAACAAAGAAGAAUAGUACUGGUAAUGAUAAUUUUAUUACACUGGCACCUUAUGUGGAAGAAGUACAAAUUAGUGCAAAUUAAAAAAAAACAGAUGCUAGUAAAAUAUGCCUUCAGUUAAAAGGCUGCAUGUAUUUUUCAACAUAAUAUUUUUUAAUUAUCCCUCUCUCUGAGGAAAAUAAAUUACUAAUUUUAUCAUCUGAACAUCUUUUGAUUGACAAUAAGAUUCUGUCAUUAUGUUAUAAAUAAUUAUCAAAGAUAUAACAAAAAUUUCAAGUAAAUCAAGACAUUAUUGUGACAACUCAGUUAUUUGUAUAAUUUUUACUAAAUAUUUCUGAAUCUAUAGGAUUAAACAAGAAAGUCUGAUGAAAGAGAAAAUUUAUCAUUUUGGAAAAAGCACUUAAGUAUGCAGCCAUCAUAUAGCAUAUAAUAUCUAUUAGAAUUAUAUAGAGUCAUUAAUCAAAUGUAUGCUAGGUAAGGACAAGAAUUUUUCAUUUUGUAACAAUAAAGCUAUAAUCUAAGAGUAAUGAUACAAAUCUAUUCCUCCUAUGUGACUUAUUUUACAUUCUGCCUGAUUGUCCUGCACUGAAGAAAUGUGACCAGGAUUUCAUUCUUCUAAGUCAAGGCCAAGUAAACACCACUAUGAUGCUCUGGGAUGGGGUGGGGGGGUGAAAAUAAAAGACGAGGAAUUCAAAAAAAUAAAUAAAUAAAAAACAAGUUUUUUUUUAAAGAGAAGUAUCCUAAUUAUGAUUCAGCUUUUAACAGUGUUUGGUUUAUACCAAAAAACAAUACAAAAAAAUAACUUCAAAAAUGUCUUUUAAAGUCUAUUCCCCCAAAAGGCCAUCAGUUCUAAAACUCAGUACUUUAUGUUAUUGAAAACACUUUUAAAAGAAGUAAUUACAGCAAUAACUGUGUUUCUCUGAAUCAACUUCAUGGCAAAUGAUGCAUGAGUCAAUACAAGAUGAAACCUGUACUCCAUUUAUCUCUUUGCAUGAUCCACAAUAAAUGCAAAUGCAUAAUUAUGUUAUCUAAGCCUGUCAAAAGAGUAGAAUAACUAGAGCUUGUUUCCUUAGAGAAAGAUGAAGGAAAAUGGAAUACUUACAGCUUGGUAUGGUAAGGUGCUGAUCAUGAGCUGGAAUUUGAAAUAGGAGAGAUGGUUGUGGGGGAAAAAGUUUCUUUGGAGAGGGCCGAUAGGCUUAUACAUAAAGAAUAUAUUCAGGGAUUCUUAGGUUUGCAGUUUUUCUGUUGAGAUUUGUAGUUGGCUUCUUUUUAAAGUAUUAUAUUGGAGACAUUGUUACCUUGUCUGUGUUUAGGGGGCAGGAGAGUGGCUAAAAAAACGUAUAUUACCUGUUGGAAAUGAGUCAUAAAAACUUACUGAAAGAAAUUGAAUCUAUGCUGACACUUGAAGGAAGAGAUUAAAGUUAUUCAGGUGAAAUUAUGGGUGUAAGGAUUCAGCAAAAGUGCAAGAAAUGUGGUUCAUAAAUGACCUAUAGUAUACUUAGUCAUCAAGGCUGAAAAUGGGAUUUUCAUCCCUAACUACUACAAAACAUUUUUAAAUCUCAAAAUAUGGGCAUCUUGUUUUGGCUUUUAUUGUUGGAACACAAGUUCUGGAGUUUAAAUUAGUUCAAUAUCGAGCAUAUUGCCUGAAACAGAGUGGGUGACUAAUAAAUAUUAAUUAAAUAUUCUAGAAAAAUUAUGAAUGGAUGUCAAGGGCUGCUCAAUUGUUGUGUAUAUUCAUAUCAUUUUCUGCAUUGUCUGAUUAAGAAAUUUGUAAUUAUAUUUACUGUGUCUAGUCUCAUUUCUCUCUCCUGAAUUAUAAUUGAGACUAUAUUAUUGUUCUAUUUAUAAUCUAUUAAUGAUUAAGAUUCAGCUUCUUCAAAAUAUACUAGGACAAUGUAACUUUGAAUAGCUAUUUUGAAAAGCAGUUUGGCUUCAAAGAGUGAAAACUUUGUUUACAGUAAUUCCAUCCCUUGAAAUCUGUGCUGAGAAUGCCAUUUUGGAAAAAC